CACUCUCGCAUACUCGCAAAAAAAAAAAAUCACUCUCGCAUGACAAGUAGUAGGGGCAGUACAUGGUUGUCGCUUCCGCGAAAAGCGAUGAAAUUCAACCGAGGACGAACCACGACAGGAAAUUCAAAUGAGUUCGGCAUGCCGAUGAGAGCAUAGCAAUCAACUGAAGUCUUGCACUGAAACUUGGCUGCUGAGUGAGUAGCAAGCACAACUGUCUUGCCCUAGCACUCCCUUUGCCCGUGCUUUACACUUGGGUGGUAUGGUAACCGAUCAAUAUCCAGUACACUUUUAGGUCUUGUAGAGUCUACCUGCGUGGAACCGUGGAUGAAUGCUGGAAUGAAAAGGAGUAAAGCACCAGCUUUUCAUAAAUAAAUAAAAACUGAACAUGGUAGUGGGAUGGUUGGCAUAAGAUCAUAUUAAUACUGUAUACUUAAUUUGUCCUCAGUCCACAAAUUCUCCUGUGGCAUGGAUAUAAGUUGAAUAUCUGAUGGCCCCGUUCUUUGGACAAAAUAAUCGCGUGUACGUACAUUUCACAGAAUUUGACUCGGUUUCUUGCCAUAGAAAGAACUGAUGUUAGCUUUGAAUUUGACUCUGUUUCUUGCGACAGAAAGAACUGAUGUUAACUUUUGAAUUUGACUCUGUUUUCCUGAGGAGGCCAAUUCCCCCUAGUCCUUCUUUAAAGCAGGACCCGAAACGGAUCCGAACGGCGGAUGACAAAAGUACUGCUCCCAACACUUCAGCUCUUGGCAAGAAUGACGCUAAAUUGGCGGGCUCCCGGGCGGAGCACCAUCGGGCCCAAUGAGUGUGUUAUAUUGGAACUGUCGCGGUGCGGGCAAGCCGGCGACUGUUAUGUGUAGUAGUAGUACUAAAAGCGAUGAAACUCACUGAAAGCGACUCGCGGCAUGAAAUUCAGAUAAGUUCGACACGCCGAGAGUAGCGAACAGCUGAAUCUCAACUAUAGUCUUGCACUGAAGCUUGGCUGCUGAGUGCUGAGCACAACAGUUUUGCCCUAGCAGCAUGCUAGCACCCCGUUUUCCUGUGCUUUUUACAUCUGGGUGGUAUGGUACCGGACCAAUAUCCAGUACACUUUCAGCUCUUGCUGAGACUACUUGCGUGGAUGAAUAUUGAAAUGAAAAAGAGCAAUGCACCAGUUUUUUAUAGUGAACUCUAAACUGAACAUCAUGGUGGGAUGGUUGGCAUAAAAACAACUGUUCUUCAGAAGAAUAGAAUACUUGGAGGAGAUAUAUGAACUGUAGGAGUACUUACUUUCUCCUCAGCCAACCAAUUCCCCUAUGGCAUGGAUAUAAGUUGAACCUCUGGUUUGUCCUGUUCUUGGAGAAAAAAGAAGCAUGUGCACUUUUCAUAGAAUUUGGCUCUGUUUCUUGCCAUAGAAAGAACUUUUGAAUUUGACUCUGUUUUCACCGUCUGUGAAAGCUACCACCAUGCACCUCAACACCCUACGUUAGUGUAAUGGUCGGACUCGUAAAGCCAGCGUGCAAGACAAAGUUCAACUUCACGUCGUGCAGAGAGACCUACAGUAAGAUUCAACACCUUUAUCUUGAUUCUUCGCCUUUUAAAAAGCAUUCCUAAAAGUAACCACACGAUCACAGUGGAGCGUCUGCAAAGUGUAAUUCAAGAUUAUAGCUUUCAAGUGAAAAUAAUGCUAUCUCAAUGAUGAAAGGGGUGCUGUAAGUGCAACAGCUAAAGAUUGUAGUGUGAUUUCUGAAAUUCCGGAGGAAGCAUACAUGAUUCUAGAUGAGUUAGGCUGGCGAUGUCGAAAUUAAUCCAUGAAGAUAUUAGCUGAGUAUCCUAAACCACAUUCUGGAUGAACUAGGCCGGCAAGAUGUAUUAUGGUCUUACAGGCGCAGGAUUACUUGGAAAUACCUUUCUACCUUUCUGAUAGAUACUGAUAGAUCCACAGAAGCCUCACUUUUCUGACUUUUCUGUCGAGGCUGGACCUGAACUUCCAACAGUUUUCCGUACCUGAAGUUUUGGCCACCCCAUC
rnacentral:lncRNA from 1 species